UCCUUGGUGGUCUAGUGGUUAAGACUCUGUGCUUCCAAUGCAGGAGCACAGGCUCAAUCCCUGGUUGGGGAA
rnacentral:tRNA from 1 species